GUCCAUGCCACACCCGUGGUCUCCAUCGUAAGAAGGCACUGUGGGAGAUGCUACUCGUUGUAGUUUCACUUUGAUGCUAUAAGCAGUGCUGCAUUCACCAUGACUGUCUGUACGUGUUGUUUGCUUCUAUGACUUUAUUAUUAUUAUUAUUAUUAUUAUUAUUAUUAUUAUUAUUAUUAGAGAUGGAGUCUCACUCUGUCACCCAGGCUAGAGUGCAGUGGCACCAUCUCAGCUUACUGCAGCCUCCGCCUCCUGGGUUCAAGCAGUUCUCCUGCCUCAGCCUCCCAAGUAGCUGGGACUACAGUUGCGAGCCACCAUGCCCAGCUAAUUUUUUGUGUUUUUAGUAGAGA
rnacentral:lncRNA from 1 species